rnacentral:rRNA from 1 species
UACGUAGGGGGCAAGCGUUGUCCGGAAUCAUUGGGCGUAAAGAGCGUGUAGGCGGCCCGAUAAGUCCGCUGUGAAAGUCCAGGGCUCAACCCUGGAAUGCCGGUGGAUACUGUCGGGCUCGAAUCCGGAAGAGGUGAGUGGAAUUCCUGGUGUAGCGGUGAAAUGCGCAGAUAUCAGGAGGAACACCUAUUGCGAAGGCAGCUCGCUGGGACGUAACUGACGCUGAGACGCGAAAGCGUGGGGAGCAAACAGG